rnacentral:lncRNA from 1 species
GUAUGGGGGACUUUUGGUAUAGCAUUGGAAAUGUAAAUGAGCUAAAUACCUAAUAAAAAAUUAAAAAAAAAAAAAAGAAACCUCUUGCUACCCUUUUGAGACUAGUAGUCCUCUUAAAGAUGGAAAUUGGGAAGCAUUCAUUUGUGACCUUGAAAUGUCAUAUAUAUGUGUAUAUAUACAUAUAUAUACAUACAUAUACAUAUAUGUAUAUAUGUAUAAAUAUAUAUAUUAAUGUGUCAGUAAAGUGAGCUGGGAAAAAGGUUUAAGUGUGAGCUAUUAGAGUGCGUGCCGUUCCCACCCUGGCUCCCACAAGAAUGUGUAAAUCGUACCACAUGGAAUGUAAGUGGCUGGGGCCGGGUUCCAUAAAUCUGCCUCGCAAUGAGCCUCACAGGCCUUGUGUGAGAACAGAGCCCAGGAAGGGAAAUUCUGUGGAUGUCUAGUGAUUAACUGGGCCAGAAACUGACCACCGACAAUUUCUUUACAAUGUUCUUAGUAAUACUAUUUUCUGACAAAGGGGCACUUUCUCAUGGAGCCUAUUCCUCAAGUGGGUAAUAGGCUCACCCUCCUGCUCUCUGGAAGGCCUGUGAAUCUUGACCUAAAUCCUGAGCAAAGUGGAAACGUCACCCACCUCUAAAACGGGACCUGACUUUACUCAGGACUGAGUCUUGCAAGUUUGGCCCCCGUGAGAAGACAGGGGUCACCAAGGAAGCGUGAGUGGGUUGCUAAGCGGGAACUCACUCCUCCCCCACACCAUCUGGUAUGGAAAAGUGGAUUAUUCAUACUUCUGUUUCAUACUGUGAUGGUCAAGAAAAGACUGACCAGUACACCCAAAUCCCUUCAGCAGCCAGAGUGCCUUCACACAAACCUCACUUCUACCAUUGAUUCCCAUACUGACCAUUAAGAUUGGAACUAAAAUGAGGAACUGGAGAGAUGGCUCAGCGGUUAAGAGCAAUGACUGCUCUUAUAGAGGUCCUGAGUUCAAUUCCCAGCAACCACAUGGUGGCUCACAACCAUCUGUAAUGGGAUCUGAUGCCCUCUUCUGGUGUCUCCUGGAAGACAACUACAGUAUAUUCAUAAAUAAAUAAGUCUUUAAAAAAAACUAAAAUGAGCCAGGUGAAGCACGCCUUUAAUCCCAGCACUUGGGAGGCAGAAGCAGUCAACUCUCUGAGUUUGGGGCCAGCCUGUUCUACAGAGUGAGUUCCAGGACAGCUAGGAGAAACUCUGUCUUGAAAAACC